GUAGCUCAGUGGUAGAGCGCUCACUUUGCAUGUCAGAAGCCCUGGGUUCGAAACCUAGC
rnacentral:tRNA from 1 species